rnacentral:rRNA from 1 species
UAACGCGUAGGAAUCUACCUGGUAGUGGGGGACAACUUGGGGAAACUCAAGCUAAUACCGCAUACGCCCUAAGGGGGAAAGCGGGGGACCUUCGGGCCUCGCGCUAUCGGAUGAGCCUGCGUAGGAUUAGCUAGUUGGUGGGGUAAAGGCCCACCAAGGCGACGAUCCUUAGCUGGUCUGAGAGGAUGAUCAGCCACACUGGAACUGAGACACGGUCCAGACUCCUACGGGAGGCAGCAGUGGGGAAUAUUGCGCAAUGGGCGAAAGCCUGACGCAGCCAUGCCGCGUGUGUGAAGAAGCCUUAGGGUUGUAAAGCACUUUCAAUUGGGAAGAAAAGUUUGUCGUUAAUAGCGCCAAGCUCUGACAUUACCUUUAGAAGAAGCACCGGCUAACUCCGUGCCAGCAGCCGCGGUAAUACGGAGGGUGCAAGCGUAAUCGGAAUCACUGGGCGUAAAGCGCGCGUAGGCGGCUUGGUAAGUCAGAUGUGAAAGCCCGGGCUCAACCUGGGAAUUGCAUUGAUACUGCCAACUA